UACGUAGGUGGCAAGCGUUGUCCGGAUUUACUGGGCGUAAAGAGCGCGCAGGCGGUCAGAUAAGUCGAGUGUGAAAGCCCCCGGCUCAACUGGGGAGGGUCAUUCGAUACUGUUCGACUCGAAGGCAGGAGAGGGAAGUGGAAUUCCCGGUGUAGUGGUGAAAUGCGUAGAUAUCGGGAGGAACACCAGUGGCGAAGGCGACUUCCUGGCCUGUUCUUGACGCUGAGGCGCGAAAGCUAGGGGAGCAAACGGG
rnacentral:rRNA from 1 species